GCUGGGUGUGGUGGUGCACACCUGUAAUCCCAGCUACUUGGGAGGCUGAGGCAGGAGAAUUGCUUGAACCCAGGAGGCAGAGGUUGCAGUGAGCUGAGAUCGUGCCACUGCACUCCAGCCUGGGUGACAGAGUGAGACUCCCUCUCAA
rnacentral:SRP_RNA from 2 species